AUCAACAGCCCCGGGGCGAAGGGGCCGCAGCUCUUGUGGUUUUGCGCAAACCCAGACCCCCCCACCCCCCGCCCCGAAAGCCGGGGGGGGAACACGAGGGGGAGGGAGGGAAGGGGAGGGGAAGAGGGAACCAUCCUCAAACCACUGCCGAGACCUCGGCCGAGGGGGGCCGAAGCCCCGCCGGGGAGAACCUGGGCGGAGGAACUCCCCGGGCCGCCGGUGCCCGCCCGCCCCGCCGGGGCUCUGCCCGCUCCCCCGGGAGGCAACGGCGGGGCAGCGGGGCCGCAGCACGGCUCGGCGGGGUGGCAGAUCCCCGUUCUGCCCCUUGGCUCGGCUUUCCCUCUUCCCAGGGAACAGGAGUCUUUGCUGGAGCUGCGCUCCCGGGGGCCGGGGUCGAUUUUUUCGUUUGUUUGCUUUUCACCUCCUGCCGCCGCCCUCCCUCCUUUUGCCCCGCACCGGCGGCCCCGAGGGCGGGCGGCGGUGGCGAAGCAGAGCGCUGCCGCCCGCCUCCUGCCCCCGGCGAGCCCCGGGCACGAAAAGGAGCAGUCAGUGGGGCCGAAACGGGGGCGAGCGAGAGGGAUGCCAGGGCUCUUUCCCCUCCCCGAGGUGAGGGACGGAGGCAGUGGGUCCGUGUCCCCCGGCGGCCCGUGCCCUUGGUUCCCACGGGUGCAGGAGGUGCGCAUCCCCCGGGGAGACGCGGGGCGGCGGCAGCUCCGUGCCCCCCCCGCGGGGCGCCGCUUGUACCGCAGAGGUGCGGGCUGGAGCCCGGGGCCCGGUGGGCUAUCGGGAAACGCCGUCUCCAGCCCCGCACCGACGAGCUGCCAGUCCGGGGCGACCCCUAAACAUCUAAAUCACCCCCAGACCCCCGGCCCAGUGGCGCUGAAGCAAAACCAACCAAAAGCCCUCGAAGCUCGGCACCCCCAAAUGGAAGCAGAAAACCCCAAACCGAGCGAGCCAGCGGCACCACCACCGAGCAGUCCCGAAACGGCAGGGAGAGCCGCACCGGCAUUUCCAGCCCGCGGCCGGCCGCAGGGGGCCAGGCUGCUGGUCCCCAAUUUCUUCGAAUUUAAGCCGAUUCCCCGGCUGACAAGGGGACCGGGCUGGGGUUGA
rnacentral:lncRNA from 1 species